CGGUUGAUCCUGCCGGACCCUACUGCUAUCGGGGUGGGACUAAAACAUGCGAGUCGAGCGCCUCCCAAUUGUGGAGACGCGGCAAACGGCUCAGUAACACGUGGCUAACCUAGCCUUAGGACGGAGACACCCUGGGGAAACUCAGGCUAAUCUCCGAGGGGGGAGGAGGCCUGGAAUGGCUCCUCCCCGAAGAGACAUUUGAACCAUGUUCAAAUGUCGCUCUAAGGAUGGAGCCGCGGCCGAUCAGGUAGUUGGUAGGGCAAAGGCCUACCAAACCUAUAACCGGUACGGGCCGUGAGAGCGGGAGCCCGGAGAUGGGAACUGAGACAAGGUCCCAGGCCCUACGGGGCGCAGCAGUUGCGAAAACUCGCCAAUGCACGAAAGUGUGAGCGGGCUACCCCGAGUGCCGUCCGCUGAGGACGGCUUUUCUACGCUGUAAGGAAGCGGGGGAAUAAGGAGAGGGCAAGUCUGGUGUCAGCCGCCGCGGUAAAACCAGCUCUCCGAGUGGUAGGGAUGAUUAUUGGGCUUAAAGCGUCCGUAGCCGGCCUGACGAGUCUCCCGUUAAAUCCAGCGAUUCAAUCGCUGGACUGCGGGAGAUACUGUCAGGCUAGGAGGCGGGAGAGGCCGACGGUACUCUUGGGGUAGGGGUGAAAUCCUAUAAUCCCAAGAGGACCACCAGUGGCGAAGGCUGUCGGCUUGCCCGCGCUCGACGGUGAGGGACGAAAGCUUGGGGAGCGAACCGGAUUAGAUACCCGGGUAGUCCAAGCUGUAAACGAUGCGGGCUAGGUGUUGGGGUGGCUACGGGCCACUCCAGUGCCGCAGCGAAAGCGUUAAGCCCGCCGCCUGGGAAGUACGGCCGCAAGGCUGAAACUUAAAGGAAUUGGCGGGGGAGCAC
rnacentral:rRNA from 1 species